CACCAAGAGAUGAAGUUAUAUUUUGUAGGUUAAAAAGAUAGUUAAGUAGAAAAAUAGCAUAAUGAUUUUUUAUAAAAGGGUAAAAUUUGAAUAUAAAGAAUUAAUUUUAUAUAUGCUGAGAUACUGAAUCUAUGAUGAUUUUGAGGGAAACUGGGAUUAGAUACCCCAUUAUUCAUUAUUGUAAAUUGAUUAAAUUUACCUGAGUACUAUGAAAUUAAAAUUUAAAACUCAAAGGGCUUGGCGGUGUUUUAGACCUAUUAGGGGAACCUGUCUCGUAAUCGACAAUCCACGAUACACCUGGCCUUUUUUUGUAAAACAGUUUGUAUACCGUCGUCGUCAGGUAACUUUUAAAAAUAAAGAAGUUGGCAUAAAUAAUAUUAUAAAUUAAGACGUCAGAUCAAGGUGCAGCUUAUAAAAAGGAGAGGAUGGGUUACAAUUAUUAAUUAGUAAUUAUGAAUAGUUUAAUGUAAAAAGCUUGAAGGAGGACUUAAAAGUAAUUAUGUAAUAUAUAAAUAUUUUGAAUUAGGCUCUGAAACGUGC
rnacentral:rRNA from 1 species